CACAACAUUUCUGCGCAACCUUUUCGACACUCGAAAAGGUUCACCAUCACUGUUAUACGCAAUCAACAAAGCUUGGUAACUUCCUGGGAAGAAUUCAUUCGUGCGAAGUCUUUGAUUUCAUAUAAAACUUCAUAUAAGAUUGCGUGAGACUGAGAGCAGGUUGGUCCUCUUAACUGACGUGUGACAGUUGUGAGGACCGUGCAGAAUUCCAAUAUCAAUAUCAAUAGUGACUACUUAAAGUCAAGCUUUCAUUGGCCCUGAUGAAUAGCGCAAGUUUGCCUAGAUCUCAAAAUGAUACGAGAGAUUAUUUGCCUUAUUCCGCUCUGUUCAAGCCAGCGAUAUUAUAUCACUUCCAUUCAGCAAAACGUUCUUUUAUUUGGAAGCCUUUAACGGGAGGAUUGUGGGGUAUCUAUGGCUAGACAAAAUAGUUAUUUUGGUCUAAAAAGACCUAAGAAAAUGUUCCAACUUAUUUUCGUGGGUUUUGUUUCUUUUUAAGCCAGAAGAAGCCUUGGCAGCCUGCCUGGUCCUGAAAGCAAGAAAGGAGAGCCGGAGUAAUUUAACCCUUUGCUCUUGUCUUCUUUUUUCUUUCUUUCUCUUUUCUCCUGCCAUCACGCGUCUCUGACAUUUCCCCCUGCAGAUUAAAAAAAACAAGGGCCCGGAGAGAUGAAAAGCAACCUGAAGGGAAAACUCAAAAGAGCUUCCUCUCACGACCAGGCCUUACUUCGUUCAGACUGACUACCUCCUGAGGUUGCUUUAGGCUUUCAAAAAUAGAGAAGACUCCAGAAGGGAAGCAUGUGGAAAGAGAUUAAUCAUAGUUUCAAUGGGGAAACUUUGAGCUUCCUAGACUAAACCAAGUCCAAAAAAUAUGCUAGAGAAUUCCUGGAAGCCUGGCUCUCAGACAAAGCACCCAUCAACAGGCACAGAGAGAUAAACAAACUCUACAUACCAUUCAAAAGAGACUACCAAAAAAAGCCCAAAAGGAAACAACAUGACCUAACCACCUCCUCACCAGCACUCAACACUCAGAGGAGCAGAAUGUCAAGAUUAACACUAGACCAACAACUAAGAAGCAAACAGUAUCCUAGUCAAGCAACUACCGACUCAAAACGAACAAGCUAACUGCAAACAGCAGCCCACUCAAGGAAACACCAGAUCUAUUCCCAUCCACAAUGAAAGGGCAAGCCACUAGUAUAUUAAAUGAGACAUAACGCUACUUCUUUAUUAGCAAUGAUGAGGUUACCUAGUUUGGUAAUGAAAUGCCUGCAGGAAAACAACUGGGAAAGCACCAAGGGCCCCACAAUUCGACACAGAACUAGAAAUGUUCUCUUCUAUCUGUACAGUAAUCUACCAGUAACUCAGGCAAUGAAGCAGUCUUGGCAACUUCCUUUGAAGAAUUCACUCAUAUGAAACUUUUUGAUUCCAUAUAAGGAUGUGGACUGAGAGCAGAGAAGAGUUGGGUUUUUUUUUUACCUACAUGCAACAAUAGUAAUGGCUAUGCAGAGGUCCAUGUCAUGCUUAGUUUGAUCCCAACAUGGUUGGGUGCAGGUUUCAUGCUGGAGGGUGCUAUUUAUUCAAUCAGUGGCUUGUAAGGAAAAGCCUUUGGCUCUUGUGGAAAUAAAAUAACUUAUGCAAUGACCUUA